rnacentral:lncRNA from 1 species
AGUGUAGAUAAGAGAUGUGUCCCAGGGCUGACGCAAUACAAAUUUCAAGGCUGUGGAACCAGGAGAAGGUCUGAGGAACGGAGCUCCCGGAAGUAAAGGCAUUGCCUCACAUUUGAGUACACCUGGCAACAGUACUUAAGGAAGGAAAGGUUUGCACUGGCCCGCAGUCUGAAGGAGGACAGAGGACACAAGGCAAUGAGAGCAGCUCUAGGUGUAGCCGUGGGAGCCCGAUAUAGCUGGACGCGCUGCAUCUGAAGCAUGACUUCAGGAUUUGUGGUCAGAAGCACGAGGUGGAGAAGUCCUGAUACAAUCUUUGUACUGUACGGUUGCCGUCUGGACUUCAUUGACUAUCCCGGAGCGAUCCAGCACAAGUGACAAGUGAAGACCUUGGCUGUGUUUCAGAAGCACAAUUACAACUCUUGGGGUAAAGAGCCUCAGCGACAAGGCCCAGGAAAGCAGGUGUAUUGAGAAUUAGAGGUAGUCACAGGGGAUGAAACAUAAAAUCAACGUGCCAGAGGUUGACCUGGGCUCUUCCACCCUCACUGUGAUCUUCAGUUUCGCUGCGUGCACUCAAGGCACAAACCUGGGAUUUGAGAUUUCAAGCUGUGUCUGUAAACUUAUUUUCAGAGACUCGGAGCGGGCCCCAGAGGAGAGGUAGGGAGUGGUCCUGGCAGCUGUUGGAUGAAGCAGGUUGGAAGGGCCUUGAGAGCAGAGGUCUGUUGUUUAACAUCAUCUUCGAGUGUACCCUAGCACGGCGGUCUCGGCUGGAGAGAUUUUCUGUGUGCUGAACUUAGAUGGAUAUGUCAAAGUGUACUCAAGCUUUCUUGAACUUUUUCCCCAUCUGAAAUCACUAAAAAUGUGCAGUAUUUCAAAAAGCCCAAGUUUGCCUCCAAAUAUGCUUGUGAAAUGUAUUUCAACACACAUAUCCAACAGUAAGAACAUGCUGGCCAUAUCAAUCCUCACAGCAACUCUUUAUUGCAGCAUAUUGAGGUUUAAUCAGGAAACAGGUUAGAGCUUCUAUGUACAGGUUUUCUUCUAGUUUGAGGUUUUCCUGAAAUAUGUGACACAGACUCGUUAUACAAAUGGCCACUAGUAAAUUAUUUCCAGCAUGUGUUACUCUGUCAACAGUGAUGCUUUCACAGAACCUUUGUCCUCCACAAUUCCCCCCCUCCAUUUAAACCAGGACAUUUCCAUCUCAGUGAGCCACUGCUGUAUUUGGGACCUAAGCGAGAAGCUGGAUAAACAGAGGCGCUAUUAUUAUUGUUACUGUCAAUAUAGUUUCCUUCCCUAGUUAUAACUGAUUAUUUCCUUUUUUCCAUUUCAAAACAUUUUUGUUCAAAUGCUUCUGAUGGCUCUCGUCACAAGCAAUAUUCCUUCGGAAAUAAUGCACCUUUUUAAUUUCUCAACCUAAAAUACACAGCCCGUCAUCUCCAUAGUAGGAUGAUGCUGUUAGAGAGAUCAGCUGUGUCUAGUUGGAGAAUUUUUAGGGGAAUAAGGGAUUACAGGAGCGAGUGCUUCCUCUAUUAGUUCGUGCAAAGUGAAGACAAGAAAGAAAGUCUGUAGGAUGUAAGAGGUGAUGUUACUCCAGCAAGAGUUGGGCAUUUGGAAACACAUGGAGUUAAAAGCAGUUUUCACUUAAUGUGCUUUGUUGUUUCUGCUACAAUAAAAAUAAAUAAUAAAAAUUCUGUUUUGCUUCUUUAUAAUA